rnacentral:rRNA from 1 species
AGUGAACGCUGGCGGUAGACCUAACACAUGCAAGUCGAACGGCAGCACAGUAAGAGCUUGCUCUUACGGGUGGCGAGUGGCGGACGGGUGAGGAAUACAUCGGAAUCUACUUUUUCGUGGGGGAUAGCGUAGGGAAACUUACGCUAAUACCGCAUACGACCUACGGGUGAAAGCAGGGGAUCUUCGGACCUUGCGCGAUUGAAUGAGCCGAUGUCGGAUUAGCUAGUUGGCGGGGUAAAGGCCCACCAAGGCGACGAUCCGUAGCUGGUCUGAGAGGAUGAUCAGCCACACUGGAACUGAGACACGGUCCAGACUCCUACGGGAGGCAGCAGUGGGGAAUAUUGGACAAUGGGCGCAAGCCUGAUCCAGCCAUACCGCGUGGGUGAAGAAGGCCUUCGGGUUGUAAAGCCCUUUUGUUGGGAAAGAAAAGCAGCAGGUUAAUACCCCGCUGUUCUGACGGUACCCAAAGAAUAAGCACCGGCUAACUUCGUG